UCAUACAAGGCUGAUUGUCUUUCUAUCAAGUCCCUGUACAUUUUUUUUAAGCCUUUUACUCUUUUCACUUAUAGCAUAAUGUGUUCAUUUCACCAUGCACUCUCUUAGUCCCUCCUAUGGGAGAUACUGAAGUAGAGGGAAGCAGAACUCAGUUUUUAGUUCUUGAAAGCCGCAGGAGGCAUAUGAGAAGUAGGCCUGGAGAGAUGGUUCAGACAGUCACAUGCCUGCGGUGCAAGCAUGAGGACCCAAGUGUAGACUGCCAGAGUCUAUGUGAGAAACUGGCUAACUAAUGCAUGCCUGCAAUCUCAGCACUGGGGCAAUGGAGACAGAUAGAUCUUUGGGGCUUGCUGGCUGGCCAGCCUGGCCAUAUUGGCAAGCUUCAGGAUUGGUGAAAGAUUUUAUGUCAAAAAAAUGAGGUGGAAAGUGAUUGAGGAAAACACCCAGCAUUGACCUCUCCCUGCACCUUCAUAUAUACACAUGGGUGCACAUACGUGAACAUGUAAACACACACACACACACACAAAUACUCAAGAGGUGGGGAUCCACAAAUAUGAAGUAAACCAGAGCAGUUGAUUCCAUAACUGUGGAAUGAGUCUGGUGCCUCCUGUCUCCCCUUAGACAGGUCUGAAUUACCUUGCUUGAUUUGGUUUGAUGCAAACUUUUAGAAUGCUGUAUUUAAGCAUAUAAGAAGUGGUUCUAAAAAAUCAUUUGGAAAAAAAUCCAAAAGUAUGUUGAUGUGUUGGAUAGCUAGGUUUUUGUUGAUUGUUUUUCAUCUGUGUGGAAGAUUUGUGAGUUUGUAUAUCAUAGGAAACAAGAGACUAUAAAGUUUAUUUAGGGUCACGGUCCAUUUGGGGAGUGUGUCACUUGCCAGAAUAAAGGGAACCAUGGGAGUUUCUGGGUUUAAGACAUUACUUCCUUCCGGGAAAUCUUCUUUACCAGAUAAAGUAAAUGUAGAACUCACCCUACAAACUGUAAGGUUGACAGCUAGAAUUUUACUGCAGACUUUUUGAACAAGAAACAUAAUUCUGUGAAUAUCUACUCUUUCACCAUAAGGCUUGCUGAUAUGUGAGGAAACGAGAAAGCUCUGGGCUGUUCACACUCCUAACUUUUCAGAGUGUUAUGGAAAAUGGGAGUCAGGUCAGCAGUCCGAAUGUGUGCUAUAAAUGCUUAAACUUCUGCAAUUGUAAAACAUACCACGAAUAAAUAAAAAACAGAAUUUUAUAUGUUGGUAACUUGGUUUUGAGAACAGAGUAAGAUUUGGAAAUGCUGAUGCUAGGCAUGUUGUUACUCUGUUAAUACCAUAAAUGUAGUAGUGCAGCUAAGGUGACCAUGUUCGAAGUUGGCACUAUCUAACCUACAGCUUGAUUAACGUGUGCGAAUAAUAAUUUUAAAAUCGAGAACAGUUUUUAUUUUCAGUGCUUGUUAUGUAAUGCUGCCAAAAAACGUCCUUAUACUACGAAGCCAGUUAAUUUCUGAUGACUUGAUGUAGAGUUGGUAUCUCGAGUCAGACUCAACCUGUAAGCAUUCUGUCAUUGUUGACUUGAACAUCAGUGGGAAAUGCUAUCUAUUGGUGUUUAGUUACCGUAAACUCUGCAUAUCUGAAUUCUAAUCUUAGUCUAAGAAGCCUGUGGGGAUUUUGUAAAGUUCAUGUGCUAUUUUAAAUGUUUUUACUUUUAGUAUUUGUAAGGUAGUGAUGUUACUAUGACAAAAGUUUAUAGACACUGUGUAGCACUACUAACUGCUCCAGAGCCAAACAGACAGUGUAUUUUGUAUUUCAUGUGUACUUUUUCUGUUUCAUAUUGGAUUUUUUACAUCCCUUUUUUAGGGGAAAAAAAAAAGGAUACAUUUAAAUUCUUUUUAGGGUCAUCUGUAUUGGAAACUAAGUAUUCUCAAGGUUAGCAAACAUACUUUACCACCAAAGCUGAAUGAAACUGUAAGAUACCUCUGGAGAUUUGUGCCAAUGAACUUUUCUUAGUAAUUUGGGGUUAAAACAAAAGUAAUCUUUUCAGUAUUUUUCAUCCAGGACUUACAAUAAAUGUGGAUAUCAUGAAAACAUGUUCCAUACUCUGUUUUUCUUUGAAAAUUUUCAAAGAUUUAGAACAGUGUGUUGUUCUGUGUUCUUUUGUGUCUGGUUUCCUGACAUUGCUAGCUAAAAGGUGAAUCCACUUAGUAGUAAUCUUUUAGCAGUUAAUUGCGGUAAUAAUCAUUUGAAGUAAUCUGACCGUGGCUUGUUUUGUGGUG
rnacentral:lncRNA from 1 species